UGGGAUAAGCACUGGAAACGGUGUCUAAUACUGGAUACGACCCUAUCACCGCAUGGUGUGUGGGUGGAAAGAUUUAUCGGUUUUGGAUGGACUCGCGGCCUAUCAGCUAGAUGGUGAGGUAAUGGCUCACCAUGGCGACGACGGGUAGCCGGCCUGAGAGGGUGACCGGCCACACUGGGACUGAGACACGGCCCAGACUCCUACGGGAGGCAGCAGUGGGGAAUAUUGCACAAUGGGCGCAAGCCUGAUGCAGCAACGCCGCGUGAGGGAUGACGGCCUUCGGGUUGUAAACCUCUUUUAGUAGGGAAGAAGCGAAAGUGACGGUACCUGCAGAAAAAGCACCGGCUAACUACGUGCCAGCAGCCGCGGUAAUACGUAGGGUGCAAGCGUUGUCCGGAAUUAUUGGGCGUAAAGAGCUCGUAGGCGGCUUGUCGCGUCUGCUGUGAAAUCCCGGGGCUCAACCCCGGGCCUGCAGUGGGUACGGGCAAGCUAGAGUGCGGUAGGGGAGAUUGGAAUUCCUGGUGUAGCGGUGGAAUGCGCAGAUAUCAGGAGGAACACCGAUGGCGAAGGCAGAUCUCUGGGCCGCUACUGACGCUGAGGAGCGAAAGCAUGGGGAGCGAACAGGAUUAGAUACCCUGGUAGUCCAUGCCGUAAACGUUGGGAACUAGAUGUAGGGCCUGUUCCACGGGUUCUGUGUCGUAGCUAACGCAUUAAGUUCCCCGCCUGGGGAGUACGGCCGCAAGGCUAAAACUCAAAGGAAUUGACGGGGGCCCGCACAAGCGGCGGAGCAUGCGGAUUAAUUCGAUGCAACGCGAAGAACCUUACCAAGGCUUGACAUAGCCGAGAACGCUGUAGAGAUACAGAACUCUUUGGACACUCGGUUACAGGUGGUGCAUGGU
rnacentral:rRNA from 1 species